UCUUGAGUAAUAAACUAACUGUGGAAUACGUGCCUUGAGCUUUCUUCUAAUAUUGCCACUUGUUGGGCCCCUAGCUUGAGCCAGAAGGUUACAGGCCAGCAGACGCAACAUCAUUUUAUAUUUUGAUUGACGAUGACCAAGUUAGAGCAAUUCCCGGGAGUUGCUCACUUUUUUUAUAAGAAAAAAAAGAAGGAAAAAAGUUGCUUCCUUCUGCCAAAAGGAUAUUGCCUAUGAAUAUAUAGAUGAACCUUGGUACCUGUAAUGUCACAACAACUAACCGACCUACUGCCUCGUACAGAUUAGGGAAUGAGUCAUAAUCUUGAGGCCGGGUUUAAAGUGAGAGAAAGAGAGAGAAUCGGUCUCAAGACCUUGUGUUCUCCUCCGAUGCUGUCCUUCGGACGGGAAAUGGCAGAGGUGCUGUCCAUAAGUUAUAAAGGCAGGGGAGAUCCGAGCUGCACCAUCAUCGUCUAUGAUGGUAAGCGUGGACAGAUCAUCUACACACAAAGCAGCAACCAGGCCGGCAAGAGGGCGUCUCUCAGACCUUCAAAUUCUGGCACUCAGGUCAGCAGUUCUGCAUGUCAAUAGAUCAUCGUCUAUGAUGGUAAGCGUGGACAGAUCAUCUACACACAAAGCAGCAACCAGGCCGGCAAGAGGGCGUCUCUCAGACCUUCAAAUUCUGGCACUCAGGUCAGCAGUUCUGCAUGUCAAUAGUAAGACAAAUGUGUGAAGUAUAGGACAUGCCAUUUUGCUUUCAGAUGAUAUCAUAUGCCUGGAGUUUGAUUCCAGCAUAUAUUUCAUCCCUGCUUAACAGCAUGAAUCGGCCCAGCGCCCAUCUGUUUCAAAAAAAGGGUAUUAGAUAAAUAGAUAAGGUGAAUGCAAAAUUUGACAAAAUUCCAUCUGUCACUAUGAUUAAACAGAAUGCCAACAAUCACUGCCCGCUUCUGCUAACGGGGCCAUAUCGAGUGAUCUCGCUGGACGGGUGCGUUGUCCUAGAGUACAAUAUUGAUGAUUGCCAUGCUGAGAUACUUCUGGACAUAGAUGAUCCAUCCACAAAAUAUAAUGAAGCUGUCACAGAGGAACUGGGCUGUACGUGCAAUAACCACCCCAGAGCAGUGGUUACAUACGCUCUUCUGAGCAACGCGGUGGAAGCUAUUGUUGAGGUGAAGCUUCACCAGCAACGAGAGAAUACUUUCUACGGGAGGAUCAUUGCUCGAAGUUAUCUAGGUGAGGUCGUGCUAUUCGAAUCAAACAAUGAGAGCAUGCACAUCGGGUCGUCACAAGAACCAACAACCAUACCACUGUCUAGAUCAGUUCUUGCCGUGCCGUUGGACUCAUCCCUACAGAUCGAAGUAGAUCUACAGAAUCACUCCAAUGGUAAGAUCGUGAAAGGCCUCGCGACAUGCCAGGCCGACCUCAACAACUAUCAUGUGUUGCACCUCGAUGGGGAGGACGGUCAGGUAGAUGUGAAGAUCACAUGGUCAGACUAAAUGACUAUACUGAGGGUGUACUUUCGUCUGUGUCUCUACAGUUUGUGCCCAUUUGUGUUACCAUGCAUGUAUAUAAGCUAGAUAGGAUGCCCGGGUUGCAGAAUGGUAACCAUCCUCACCGAUGGCUGAUUAACCUACACUUGUACCAGAACAUAGUGAAUAUGCUCUCUAUAUGUACAGAAGCAUGGAAAAAUGUUUGUACGUUCAUUGUUCUGAGACGAAUAUAUAAGCUGAUUGGCCAAAAGAAAUCACAGACUACCUACUGUUGUUAAGCGUUUCUCAUUCUGCUCCAACGAGAAGAGCUCUACAGGUGUGAGCAAUUGCGGAGUUCACAUGGCAAUCAAAUACACACUAAAGGCACCACUUUCAAGACCAAAAGUAGAUCAAACUGUACACAAUACCAUGGGUCUAAAUAUGUACCAAGAAAUAUGAACUGCCAAGAUGAGAUAGCCAAUUGAACACGAUAUACCAUGAAUCCAUAUAUGAACAUGCAUUUUCGGAGGUUAAGUUCAGAAGGAAAAAAAAUGAGGUGAAGGAAAGAAGGAACCAAGCACACAAUUACUAACCUUAGGACAAAUUGCAUUCGAAGUUCAAAAAUCGCAGUAUCUCACAUGACAAAAAUUAGAAACAAUUACCCUAGGGAACCUCAAGCUCGGUUAUAUGCUAGCCUUGAAAAGGCUAAUCUAUUUAACCCAAGGGGGGAAAUCCUCAUGCUGUGCUCCCCUGUUUCCAGGGUUGAGCUAGACAAAAAAAGGGGUAGACCCCCAAAACAAAAGGUUAAGAAUGUCAGGAAUCUUUUGGAAUUGCAGGGGUUGGGACACCCUGACAAACAAAAGUUCCCGAGGGCAUUGAUUUCUGAGUGUUGGGAUCCAAUUCAUUGCUUUGACAGUAUCCUUUAUAUGGAUUCCAAUCAAACUUGGGCAAAGAAGCUUUCUGGCCAUCAUUUUUUUGUCUGGCAGCAUUAGAUCCCACAGGAAAGUCUGGUGGACUCUUGUUGGGUAUAGAUGCUAAUAGAUUUCUGUUGUUGGAUCUGAGAAUGCUAAAUAUUCUUAUCUGAGGUUCUGGCAGGGAUUGGAUCUUCUUUUGGCUUGUUUCCUGUCUGCAGGUGUGAUAAAACAUGACCUGCUGGGUUGAGCUUUGGCUUGUGCACCUUUGGAGCUUAGCUUUGGCUGUGGUGAGGUAGGCUGCUGUUUAGCCUGGGUGCUAAGUCUUGUCCGGCCAGCAGGCCUUUGCUUUUUCUUUUUCGUUUGUAACUGUUUCAGUUGUAAUAACUUUAUGGUGGUUUCUUUAAUGCAAAUCAACGAGGAGCCUCGUUGUUUCAAAAAAAUAACUUGGGGGUCAGCACCAGCUGGUCAUAUGUAUCUCUUUUGGCUCUUUACUUUUGGAAAGGCAGGCCCGUGAAACAUACACUUUGAACUGAGAAUGAUAUUAAUUUAUCUAUGUAUCAGCCUGGAGCAGAACUCCUCUUAAAAUAAUUGCUGACAUGCCAUUAAAACUGAGAGGUGUAGGGCAUGUUGAAGUCAUGGAGAGAAAAUGAAAAUGAUCAAUGUGCCCCAGUUCUAAAACAAUUGAAGAAAAGGAGACCAGAUAACCAUGAAAACAGUUUGGCUGCACAGUAAUGUGAACUGAGAUAACAGACUGCAAUGAAGAAAGAAAUUUAGAAGGUCAGUCAACCUUUAGAGAAAAAGCAAAGGCAGGCUAUCUAUUUAUUGGUGUCCUCUUUCAUAGAACUGGAAAAUAUAUGUAGAAGUCACUGAAUAGUAAUCAGCUAAGAGCAAUAAACUUGUGUCAGUAGAUCAUAUAAGCUCUUGAGCAGGAAAAAUUGCUAUGCCGGUAAACAUCAAAAGGCAGUUUUCGGCUCAAUUCUCUUCUUCUAUGUGAAAAAGCAGAGCUCCUCCUGGUUGUUCGAAAACAAAUUUUGCUAUGCCAGUAAACAUGUACUAAUGUUUUUACCAAGUUAGGGACUGCCAUCAAUUUCCUUUACUUCCAUAGCAUGUCAUACAACACCACUUAAAGGACAAAUCCUAGCACUAGGUACCCAAACCCACAAAGAUAAUCUUGAAAAUACCUUAGCAUGCUCCAACGCUUGGUUUAAUGCUAAUGGACACAGUAAGUUGCCAACAACUCCUCCAUUAGUAAAAUCUGGCAGAUACUUAGUUUAGAUAAACUGACAAUGCUAUUAAAAUAACAGGUAGAAGACCUUCAUUCAGAAACAUGAAUCCAUAUUGGCUAAACUGUGGUUCAACAGUUUACUACAUGUAAGAAUCUAAAACCAGUUUUCUAGAAAAAGUAUCAAACUGAAAUUGCAAAUAAACAGAUCCUGAAGCAACGUUAGUGCAUCCUCCGCUCUAGACAAAAACUUAUAAAUUAUCUAAUUAGACUACUUAAAAGUGUCAAGAAUGCAUUUAUGGCAGCUUUCAUCAUGUGACAACACGCGUGCUAAUGGAGUUGCUUCUUAAACGAACAAUGGAGCACUAAAUAAUGUAUCUGCAAUAUAAAAUUAAAUUUAUCAGAGAAUGGGCAGGGGAUUAAUUUGAUGCUACCUAAGGAAGAUUAUCAUUUCCAAACAAAAGAAAAGCUACAGUUAAACAAAAGACACUUGCAGCUAAUUAGCUGCUCAUAACCACAACAUGCCUAGCCUAUUUCAAUAUUACUUGCAGCUAUAGAAGAAAAAAGGCCUUUCAGUUUUACCUUUGAUAGCAAGUGGCUAGUGGAUAAGCACAUUGUGGCAGGAAUAAAACAGAAAAACAGGAUGAAAAAAUAAGUGCGAACAUUUAUUAUUUAUAAGGAAGAAUGCAGCAAGAACAUGAAUUUCUCAUUACCCGAAUCAUCGAUGCUUUCACUAGUUUCAAGGGAAAGUAGCAUGGAGAAUGACACUACUUCUUUCACCAAAUCUGACUAUUCUUUUCUAAAUGGCCCUUAGGAUAUUAGAGAAAUAUACCUGAAGAAUAAGCCUCACUUUUUCUAGAACUUCCAUUGAUUACUUUCCUUCCAAAUGUCUCUGGUAUCUUACUGGGGAAGUUCAGACAAACAUAAAUACUGAGCCUGGUGGUUAAGAAAACAAAUAGCAGGUUAGUACUAAGAAAAUAGCUCGCCUGAUUAUCUUUAUCUUCCACCGGCAAUAUAAUAGCUGGUGAGCACACAUGAUUACACAUAUUAGAUUCAUGUGGCACAUGAAAAUGACAACAAUCUUUUUGUUGUUAUUGAAAUGUGUGUUAUAAGCUGCAUAUAACUAAACAAGAUUCAUCAUAGAGACAUGUAGUCUAGCUAGUACACCCGAAAUGAUCUUAUAUUUUGGGACAGAGAGAGAGUAGUAAAUCCAACAAAUUCUACAGUUAGCUCAUUAUAAUACAUGCAUCCAGCAAAAGAAAAGUUUAGAAUAACCUUACCUUGCAAACAAAGGAUCGAGCAGGGGUGAGGCGGGCGCUGUUGCCGUCAGAUUGGGGAAGGAGGCGGGCGAGGGCGACCUGGUUGGGGUGGGAUCCAGUUGAAGCAACGGCGCGCAACCCACUGGUCAUGCUAUGGAUGGGCCGGGGAGUAAGCAAGCCGGCGGCGCGCUUAGAUCGGGGUCGACGACGGGCGGCGGGCGCUGCG
rnacentral:lncRNA from 1 species